CGCUGUUGACAUUUUCGGCGGGAUAACUGUGUUGCUGGAGGUGUCCUGUAUACUAUAGAGUGUUCAGUAGCGCCCCAGGCUGGCCUCCGUCGGUAGCACCCACCCAAGUUUUGACCACCACAGAUGUCUCCAGACAUUGCCGAAUAUCCCCUCGGGGGCAAAAUCGUCCCCAGUUGAGAAUCACUGUUAGGGGAUGGCCUGGGUUUUCGGGAAGUGACCCUUUUAAAAGAGAAGGAAGGUAAAGACAGGAAGCAACGACGUCUUAGCUACGUGAACGGCGCGGCCAGGCUCACCCCCUCUCCCAGCAGCUCUGCGUCCUGUUCCAGAGUGACUUAGGCAGUCGUCGUCCCGCAGUCGGAGCCGCCCCAGAGAAGGAGCAGGUCAGCGUCUUCCAGGAGGCGCCAGCAGCGGAAGCACAGGCGCUGCUUGCGGUCCUGUUCGCCAAGUGGGUCGCGAUCCUGAAGCCGCCGGUACCGAGAGCGGCACUGCGGGUCCGAUACCAAUCCUGCAGCAGGUCCGGUUCUUGGGGGAAGUCCCACUGUAGAAGGGCCUACGAGGGGGCAACGAUCCUUCGCUUUGGCCGCACGGUGUACCUGAAAGAACACAAAAGUUGGAGGGAGAGAUCCAGGACGAGGUGGCGGAGCAGAACCCAUAAUAGAGUGGAGCUGUUAAAAAUAGCAAAAGGCAGGGCAACUAAAUCUUUAGGAACAGCCAACCUUGACUUGCCAGCUAGUCUCAGAACUGUGCCUAUAGCUAAAGAAACAAACUGGAACUGCUGUACCAAAUAAUGCUAUGAAGUUUGAGUGAAUCAAGUGAUGCGUUGAAUCACAGCAACAAGAAGGUGUUGCCCCAGCUCUUAACGUGCCUUCAUUUAAAAGAUGGAGGAGUUUCAGAUCGUCUUCUUGAUUUCUAUGAAGCUUUUAAAGAAACCCCGGAAAACAAAACAAAAAGAUUGCUGAUACCCUGUCCAAAUACAAACUAGACCUUGCUCAUCUUUCUUCAUAUUCAACAGAUAGGGAAAAUGUGAAUUUUGGCUAAUUCCAUUCAGUCUGUAGCCUUCUGACCAAAGAAAAUGACAAGAUCUUACCUGCCAAAUGUCCUGCACACCUUCUACAAGAGGCUGCUGAAAACCAGUGGGAUUUUCUUUCCUGUGAUAUUGAAGCUUUCAUAAUGAAAGUUUUUGGUUACUUUUCAGUUUCCUCAAAAGAAGCAGAAGCACUCAAUGAGAUUUUUAAUUUUUUUUAGAGAUGGAAGGUGAUAGACUCCUUAGACAUGUUCCUACAAGAUGGCUAUCAUUGUUGCCAGCCGUAGAAAAAUGUUAAAAUGUUGGCCUUACCAUGAAGUCAUAUUUUCAAAGUGUGGGAAAAGAAGAAUGCCUUUCUCUCAUUUGGAAAUACACUGAGGAUGAGAAUGGAGAAAAGAAUCACAGUAUAACAGAAAUUUACAUGUUCUUUCUCCAAAGCUGCUUGACGAUGUUUGAAGAGGCCAUAAGAAGCCUAGAAAAAGGAUAAACUGACUGUACCUGAGUUGUUUGAGAUUAUGUGUAGGUUGCAACAAAAACUCAUGCAGCAAAAAAAAGACUCAUUUGUUGGAAAGAACACUGCUUUCGAACUCAAAAAAUGUCACCAGAAAAGGGCAGUCAAGUUAAACAGGACUUUCUCAAUUUCUUCACUAGAGCCAUAACUUUUUUGGAAUCCAAUUUUGAUUUCACGAGUUCAGAUAACCUCUGUGCUUUAAAACCAUUUUUCUUGAGAAAGAAAGGUUUAACUUAUAAUGACAUCCAGUGCGCUUUAGAAUGUUUAAAAAUGAUGGACAUUUUAGACAUGGAUAGCCUGUAUGAUGAAUUUAUAGGUGCAAAGGACCUGCUUGACAAACAGCUGGUCUACCAAAACAAGCCUGUCAGUUAAAAAAUGGAUGGACAUUUUUGGAGAGCCAGAAACUUAAUUCCUACAAGUCUAAAACCUGCUGUUGCUAGUAAGCAAAAUCCUAAGUAUUCCAUGUUCAGGUGUUUUUGUUGAGAGGAUAUUUAACUUGAUGUCAUCACAUUGGACUGACACCAGGAAUCAGUGUAAUGUGGGCUUGAUAAGAGCACAGCUACAAAUCAAAGACACUUUUCCUUUUGACUGUAUUCAGUUUUACUACUGCAUAAAAGGAAAGAAGGAUGUCCGAAAGGUUGCAGGCAGUAUUAUCGGAAAAGGAAACAGAAGAAAUAAAGCGUCCUAUUAUAUCAUGGAACAGAAAGAAACAUACCAUUGUUAUUUUUUAUUAAAUAUAGAUAAUUGUUUAAUUAGUCCUAUCGUAUUUACAUUUUCUUUUUAAAAAGUCUUAUAUUUUUGUGCCUUAAGAAUAUACAGUAAUAUAGCCUACACAAUUUAAAUAUUUAGUGCAGUGGCUUACUUAAUAUGGCCUUUGUGACUCCCACAAAAUGAUUGGGUGGGACUACACCUAUAAGGUGCUUGUGGCCCACCAAGGGGAUUGGACAGCUUGCUGACAAUGCAAAUAAGGUGCAUGGAACCCUUAUGGGAGAGGUGGAACAUGCAAAUAAGGUAUAUGGAACCCUAACGAGGGGAUAAGUCAGUUUUCCCAGCCCAUGGAGUGAGGUGGCUGCAGUGGGCAUGCAGACCCACGGAGUGGAGCGAGAGAGUUGAGUGCCUUUGAACAGGAGGCUUCCUGGCGGAGUGGGGUGCCUCCAGGUAUAUACUGGUGGAGCUGAAGAGCUUUGUAACACUUGUGCGAGCAGGGCAGAGGCCAGGCCAAGGGCCAAAGAGAAGCCUGCUUGCAAACAUGGCUGAGAAGAAACUGUCCUGACCAAAGAACUGUAUUCUGAGCCCUUCCUGGUCCUGAAUUAUAACCUAAGAAACCCUGAAGUAUAGUCUGUAAGUUCUGUGUGGCCGUUGCAAUGAAUUAUCAAACACAGAAGAGAAGUAGAGAGUGCUGUGGGAGGGACAGCUGGUGUUAGAACUGGUUAAAAAGUUUGAAGAGAGGAAGUAUGUCUGACCUCCACCUCAUAGGAAUCAGCCUUGGGCUGAUGUUGAUCUUGAUUCUCUCUCCUCUACCUUGUGAAGUUAGACAAGGAGGUCUGACGCCCUCCACACCAUUUUUGCACUAUGCAAUAAAGUUUUAAAAAGUUAAAAUUAAUUGGUAUAUGAGAGGACAUAAAGACAUGAAAUAUUGCUUAUCUUUCAUGGAGCCCUGGUGGUGCAGUGGUUAAGAGCUCAGCUGCUAACCAAAAGGUCGGCAGUUGGAAUCUACCAGCCACUCCUUGGAAACUCUGUAGGGCAGUUUUGCUGUGUCCUGUAGGGUCUCUCUGAGUCCCUAUUGACUCAAGGGCAAUGGGAUAUCUUUCAUAUGUAUUUGUUUAAUACAUCCUAUUAUUACUAAUGGUUAUGUAAACUAGUCCUGUCGUUUUGUUUAAGUAAUAGCUAUUAUAUAACCGAAAUGUAAAUAAUACAACUGUAUAAAUUUCAAAUAUCCUUGAUUUUCAUGUUAAAGUAAUAACACAUAUAUAUGAUUACUGUGUAUUAUGGUGUUUGGGGGAGGGGUGGCUUUCUCCAGGGUUGGCUCUCCCUACAGUCAUUCCUUUUAUCCUUUUUAACUAUGAAAAUUUGGCCCCUGUUGUAAGUGAAUUCUCUUUCUUUGGGCUUUUUUCCCUCCAGUACCAGAUAUUCUUGGUUAAAAAGAACCACUGAAUUAUUACUUUUGGCUGAGGGCACAAGGAAGGGCCUCGUAGGCUGAGUUGGUCUUAAUAGUCAGAAAUGAGGAAAGGCUUUCUAGAGAAAAACAGCAUUAGAAAAAGAUACAGAAUUGGGGAUGUGUAGAUAAGAGAAAAUGAAACAGAUUAAUUUGACCUGAAAGGUCAGUUGAGAGCAGCUCAAAAAGGGCAUUUUGAAUGUCCAGUUUGAGGUGAUAGACAGUGGGAAUCCCAUUAAAGUCUUAUUUGCACAGGAGAGUGAACUGAUCUGAGCUGCCUUUAAGAUUACUUUGGCAUUAGUUAUGGUGGAAGUAGGAUUUGACUAGCAAUAGGAAGACCCCCUCCCCGCCCCCCGCCAAGGGACUUUGGUAAAGGUACAGGAAUGAAGUGAUGUCAUAGUCAUUUAGUGCUGCUAUUACAGAGAUACCACAAGUGGGUGGCUUUAACAAACAAAUUUAUUCUCUCACAGUUGAGACUAGAAGUCUGAAUACAGGUACCAGCUCUAGGGAAGGCUUUCUUUUUCUGUUGGCUCUUGGGGAAGGUCAUUGUCUCCUUUCAACAUCUGUGGGCCCUGAACCCCUUGGAGAUCUCUGUGUGUCUUGGCUUCAGUCUUCCCCUGGAUCUAGGAGCUUCUCAGUGCAGGAACCCCAGGUCCAAAGGACAUGCUUUGCUCCUGGCUCUUCUUUCUUGGUAGUAUCGAGGUCUCUCUCUCUGCUCUCUUCUCUUUCUUUUUAUCUCUUGUAAGACAAAAGGGGAAACCCUGGUGGUGUAGUGGUUAAGUGCUAUGGUUACUAACCAAAAGGUCAGCAGUUCAAAUCUGUCAGGCGCUCCUUGGAAACUCUAUGGGGCAGUUCUACUCUGUCCUAUAGGGUCGCUAUGAGUCGGAAUCGACUUGACGGCAGUGGGUUUUAGUGGGUUAAGAUAAAAGGUGUGACUCAAGCAAGGGUGUGAAGGGUGGUGACUUAACAAACAUAACCUAAUAUUAAUUAACAUGACCUUUUUUAAUCCUGCCUUAGUUAUCUAGUGCUGCUAUAACAGAAAUACCACAGCUGGAUGGCUUUAACAAAGAGAAAUUUAUUUUCUCACGGUCUAGUAGGUUACAAGUCCAUAUUCAGGGUGUCGGCUCCCUGGAAAGGCUUUCUCUCUCUGUUGACUCUAGAGGAAGGUCCUUGUCCUCAGUCUUCCCCUGGUUGAGGAGCUUCUCAGGCACAGGAACCCCGUGUCCAAAGGACACACUCUGUUCCUGGUGCUGCAUUCUUGGUGGUAUGAGGUCCCCAACUCUCUACUUGCUUCCCUUCCCUUCCUUCUCUUGAGAGAUAAAAGGUGGUACAGGCCACACUUCAGGGAAACUACCUUGGAUCGGGGAGGUGACCUAAGUAAGGGUGGAGUUACAAUCCCACCCUAAACUUCUCAAUAUAAAAUUACAAUCACAAAAUGGAGGACAACCACAUAGUAUUGGGAAUCAUGGCCUAACCAAGUUAAUACACACAUUUUUGGGGGGACAUAAUUCAAUCCAUGACACUGCUUCAUUAAUGUAACUACAAGCGUAGAUGCUAGUAUUUACAACAUCACAAAAUGGAGGAUAAUUACAUCAGAUCACAAAAUGGAGGAUAACCACAAAAUAUUGGGAAUCAUGGCCUACCCAAGUUGACACAUAUUUUUGAGGGACACAAUUCAAUCCAUGAUAGCCAUGAUAACCUGACUGAGAGAAUGGGAUGACAUUGCACUGAACAUACAGGGAGGAACAGGUUUGGUGAGAGUAGAUGUUGAAGUUAGCUUUGCACAAGUUGAAUUUGUCUGACGGCCAGAGCCCUAGGCCUAGAUCUCAGAGAAGAGAUCAGGGCUAAAGAUAAAAGAUUUGAGAUGUUUGCACAGAAGGCGUUGAAGGAGAUGAGAAAAUAAGGAAAAAGAAGAGGGUUCCAGACAGAGUCUUGAGAACUGCCUACAUUUCAGGAAGUGGAAGGAGGAAUAACGAAAAUAAGAUGUGUGAUCACAGAAAGAGAACUAAGAGAGUUCAGUGCCGAAGUAACCAGGGAAAGAAGAGCUUCAGAAAGGAGGCACUAAAAUGAGAAGGAUGAAACUUUGGAAGAGAACAUGCAGCUUCCUUCCAGCUGUUUAGGUGUCAGGGUACAGAUGUAAAGCGUUCUGUGCAUAUAAGGAGCUCCAGUCUUCUGGGAGAGAGAAAAGAAGCAGAAGAAAUAAUCAGUGGCCUGGGAAAUACAAAAUAGAGGUAUAGACAAUUAGAGGAUGGGACAGUGCGACAAAAGGUCCUGAGGUUAUGGGACAUUAACCUGCCCUUAGCCCCCAGCAGUCAUCUCAUGUUAAACACAGGUCAAGAAAUUUAAUACUCUCUCUCCAGUAAACAAAGGAGGUUAUUAAAAGCAGUGACUUUAGAGCCAGCCACACCUGAGUUGGGUGCCUGGCUCAGGCACCUAAUAGGUGUAUAACAUUGAAAAAGUGCUUUAUCCUCUCUGAGUCCUGGUGGUGCAGUGGUUAAAGUACUUAGCUGCUAACUGAAAGGUCAGCCGUUUGAACCCACCAGCCCCGUUGCUCUGUGGGAGAAAGCUGAGGCAGUCUGCUUUUGUGACGAUUACAGCCUUGGAAACACCUUGGUGCAGUUCUACUGUCCUAUAGGGUCACAGUGAGCCAGAAUCCACUCGAUGGCAGUGAAUUUGUUUUUGUAUUUUUUAAUAAGCCGCAGUUUCCUCAGAUUAAUAGCAGUACCUGCCUCACAGGAUUAUGGUGAGAAUUACAUGAGGCAUAGUUAAAAGCACAGUUCCUGGAACCUAUGAAAUAAAAAAUCCAUCUGCUGUCGAGUCUAUCGUGAUUCAUAGCGACCCCACAGGACAGAGUAGAACUGCCAUGUAGGGUUUCCAAGGGGCAGCUGGUGAAUUCGAACUGCCAACUUUUCAGUUAAUAGCCAAACUCCUAACCACUGCGCCAUCUAGGAAAUGUGCAAUAUUUGUUGAAUGAAUGAACAUGAGCUAGUAUUAUUAGGAUCAAAAGCAGGAUAGAAUCAUACAAGGAAGGGCCUUCUGGAGGAGGUGAAACCUUGACGUCUAUGUAAAGAGAAAGGGGUUCCAAGGACACUAACGGAAACCAAUUUAAGCAUAGAGGUUAAGAACAUGGGCUUUGGAGCCAGUCAAACCUGGGUUCAAAUAUCAACUUUGUAGUGUAAGUUGAGCAAGUCACCUAAUUCCAAACCUAGGAGACAAAAAAAUUGAAGCAAAAAUGGCAAAAGUCUUUACAUUAAAUGUGGAAGAUGGGUACAUUGUUGGUUUUUCUUUUCUUUUUUUCUUUUAGAUUUACAGAAAAAUUGAGAAACCCCUCCCCUCUACACACUUAGUUUUCCCUAUUAACAUCUUUGCAUUAGUGUGAUCCAUUUGUUAAAAUUAACAUGCUAAUACUGAUACAUUAUUAUUAGCUAAAAUCCAUUCAAAUUUUCUUAGUUUUUUCCAGUUGUCCUUUUUCUGUUCCAGGAUUCCAUAUAGGAUACCACGUUAGUUGUUAUGUCUCCUUAGGCUCCGCUUGGCUGUGACAGUUUCUCAGACUUUCCUUGUUUUGACGACCUGGGCAGUUUUGAGGAGCUGGUUAGGUACAUUGUAGGUGUUUUUUGUAUGUAUGUAACAACAUUUCGUGAUUAAAAAUUACUAAUCAUAUGGCAUUCAUGAUUAAAAAUUACUAAUCAGGUGGCAUAAUAAUACCUAUGUAAUAUGAGGUUUAUGUGAGGUUUAAGUAAUGUAAAUAUCAUACCACAGUGUUUUUCUACAUAGUGCUCAGGAAGUGGUAGUUGCUGCCAUGUAUUACUAUGAUUAUUAUUGUUUCAUUCUAAAAGGAGGUAGAAGUAAAGGCAAAGAUGGGGGAAGUGAGCGUAAUAUGAGUUAUGUGGGGUGGGAGGAGGACAAUGAAGGAGGCAGAGAUGAAACUGGCUUGGCUAAACUGAAGAGGGCAGUCUAGGUAGUGGUAAGAAAUGAAGUUGUGUCAGUGGAGAGUUGGAUCCUAUUACGCCUGUUACCUGUUGCUGUCGAGUCGAUUCCAAUUCAUAGUGACCCUGUAGGACACAGUAGAGCUGCCCCAUAGGGUUUCCAAGGAGCAGCUGGUGGAUUCAAACUGCUGACCUUUUGGUUAAGCAGCCUGAGCUCUUAACCACCGCACCACCAGGCCUCCAGAUCCUAUUAUGGAGGGCUUUAAAUGCUAGGGAGCACUCAUCAAUGACAUAAUAGACGCGAUGCAUUGCUGUUGUUGGAUGCCAUCGAGUAGAUUCCAACUCUGUGACCCCAUGUGACAGAGUAGAACUACCCCAUAGGGGGUUUUUUUGGCUGUAAUUUUUGUGGGAGCAGAUCACCAGGUCUUUCUCACAUGAAGUAACUGGAUAUGUUCAAACCACCAAUCUUUCACUUAGCAGCCGAGUGCUUAACUGUUUGCACCACCAAGCCCAAGCCAAUUGCCUUUGAGUUGAUUCCAACUCGUGGUGACCCUAUAGGACAGAGUAGAACUGCCCCCAUUGGGCUUCCAAGGCUGCAGAUCUUUACGGAAGCAGACUUUGACAUUUUUCUCCUGAGGAGUGGCUGGUGGGUUCGAGUCGUGAACCUUUUGGUUAGCAGCCAAGCGCUUAACCACUGUGUAAGCAGGGCCCUUUAAAGAAUUGCUAUAGCUAAAGUUUUAGGUGGGGAGCGGGGAGGGAAGAAAACACAAAUGAGGCUUUUAGAUUCAGAAGAUAGAAAUGAAGAGAACGAAUAGGAAGAACAUGGUGAGAAACUUUCAGUAAUCCAAGUCUAAGGUAAUAGAGCUUGGACCCUGGGAAAGGUUAAAGUGGAAAUGGUGUUGACAUAAAUCUGAAGGAAUGAGAAAUCUACAAAGAAAUAAGAUGGAUGGCUGAGUGACUACUUAAGAUAUAAAAAGGAAAGCAAAAAAAAAAAAAAAAAGGAGUCAAAGAUUAUCCCCAAAUCUGAAGUUGGUUGUUGCUCCAUCUCAGUGAAAGAAAAAGAUUGGAGAGUGGUAUAGAGGACGUCAAGCACGGACUUGAGAUCAGAUGGACCUGAGUUUGAGGCCUGGCUCUGGCACAAACAAAAAAACCCAAACCCAUUGCCUUCGAGUUAACUCCAAGUCAAAGCAACACUAUAGGACAGAGUAGAGCUGCCCCAACACUAUAGGACAGAGUAGAGCUGCCCCAACACUAUAGGACAGAGUAGAGCUGCCCCACCACUACAGGACAGAGUAGAGCUGCCCCAUAGAGUUUCCAAGGAGCGCCUGGUGGAUUUGGACUGGCAACCUCUUGGUGAGCAGCCAUAGCACUUAACCACUAUGCCACCAAUGUUUCCCUGGUACCUAGUACCAGGUACAAUAUUGACUGGUGUUGAUGUUGCUUUAACCUCUUUAAACCUCAGUGCCUUAUGUAAGCUGGGGUUAAUAGUAGUGCCUCUCUGAUAAGGCUGUUGUGAGAAAUCACAAUGCUUGGGAAAGUAUUAGCACAGUUAUAGAGUCACCGUUGACACUUCUUUGUUUCACAUGGAAUAUCCAAUCCAUCUGGACACCUGCUGGGCCUCACUUUUUUAAAAAACCACACACAUGCACAUCUCAACACCUCCACACUAGCACUUUAGUGCAAGCCAGCAUCAUUUCUCACUUUAACAGCAGCAGUUGUCUCCCUGCUUCAGUCUUGGCCCCCCUUCCUCCACCUUUUCUCCACAUAACAGCCAGGAGCCUUUUAAAACAUGGGUUAUGUUAUUUCCGUUCUCAAAGGCUUCGGUGGCUUCUCCUCUUGUAGAAUAAAAUCCUUCACGUUCUAGCUCUGGGCCACCUCAUCCAUAAACCACUUCCCCUGGCUUACUCUGUCAUAGUGGCUCCCUUGCUGACUCUAAGGCCUUUGCUCUGGGGCCUUUGCAUUUGUUCCCUCUACCUGAAACAUUCAUCCCCAGCAUAGCCUUAUGGCUCACUCUGUCACUUAACUUCAUUCAAGGCUCUUCAGAUGUUACCUCUUCAGAGAGUCCUUCUCUCACACCCUAACUUGCAUACCAGCCUCCUUUACAAGUUGACAUUCUUUCCCCUUACCUUUAUUUUAACUCAAAGUACUUAUUACUACCUGACAUUACAUUCUGUAUUACCUGUCUUCUCUGUUGGAAUACAAGCUUCAGGAGGGCAGGGACUUCAUACAAUUUAUUUCUGCAUCCCAGGCUCAAAGUGAGCACUCAAUAAAUGUUGGUUAAAUAAGUGAAUUAAUGAAUAAAUUUUUUUAAAUGAGCAAGUUGGAUUAUUAGGUAAUACAAUUCACAGUCUGGGAUUCAUGAACUCCAAGGGAUCUUUGAAGGUAGCAGUUUUCUAAAUUUCUAAUGUUCUAGUCAGACUAUAGGAAACCCUGGUGGCAUAGUGGUUGAGUGCUACGGCUGCUAACCAAAGGGUCGGCAGUUUGAAUCCACCAGGUGCUCCUUGGAAACUAUGGGGCAGUUCUACUUUGUCCUAUAGGGUCGCUAUGAGUCGGAAUUGACUCCACGGCACUGGGUUUGGUUUGUUUUUUUUUUCAGUCAGACUGUGCGCUCCUUCAGAACGGGGCCUGUGGUUUGCUCACAUAUGUAUCCUCAGAAUCUAGGGCAAUUCCUGGAAUACACUAAGCAUCAAUAGAGGUAUUAGAAUUAAUUAACACAGAAUUGGUAAUGUGGGCCAUAAAGAAUCACAUUCUUUCAAAGCAGUCUUUAAGAUAGCAGCAAACCUGAAAAGCAGAACAACACUGAGUGAAUUUAUGCAUAAGGACCAUAAUCACAAUUUAAAAGUAUCUUUACAUACCUGUUGUCUGUUAAUGACUAAGAAAGAUUUCCGUCACUAUGAGUGGCAUCACCUUAGAAUUUGAAGGGCACCGAGGAGGGUAUACACACAUGCGUACACACAUGUUUGGGAGUUGCGUCAAUUUACUUUGUUGUACAUUAUAUGAAAAAAAAAUUCUGUGAAAGUUUUUUUUUUAUUUAUUGUGCUUUAAGUGAAAGUUUACAAACCAAGUCAGUCUCUCAUACAAAAACUUACACACACCUUGCUAUUUGCUCCUAGCUGCUCUCCCUCAAUGAGACAGCACGUUCCUCCUCUCCUCCCUGUAAUCCCUGUGUUCAUUCAGCCAGCUCCUGUCCCCCUCUUCUCAUCUCGCCUCCAGACAGGAGUUGCCUGCAUAGUCUCAUGUGUCUACUUGAGCCAAGAAGCUCAUUCCUUACCAGUAUCAUCUAUUUAUAGUCUAGUCCAAUUCCUGUCUGGAGAGUUGGCUUCAGGAAUAGUUCCAACCUUGGGCUAACAGAGGGCCCAGGGACCAUGACCUCCAGGAUCCCUCUAGUCUCCAUCAGACCGUUAAGCCUGGUCUUUUUACAAGGAUUUAAGAUCUGCACCCCACUGUUCUCCUGCUCCAUCAGGAAUUUUUUGUUGUUUUCCCUGUUGCGGCAGUGACCAGUGGUAGCCAGGCACCAUCUAGUUCUGGUCUCAGGCUGUUGGGGUCCCUGGUUUAUGUGGCCCUUUCUGUCUCUUGGGCUCAUCUUUACCACAUGUCUUCUGUGUUCUUCAUUCUCGUUUGCUCCAGGUGGGUUGAGACCAAUUGAUGCAUCCUAGAUGGCCACUUGCUAGCAUUUAAGACCCCAGAUGCCUCUUACCAAAGUGGGAUGCAGAAGGUUUUCUUAAUACAUUUUGUUAUGCCAGUUGACCUAGAUGUCCUUUGAAACCAUGGUCCCCAAACCCCUAUCCCUGCUACUCUAGCCUUGGAAGCAUUUGGUUGUAUUCAGGAAACUUGUUUGCUUUUGGUUUUGUCCAGUUGUGCUGGCCUCUCCUGUAUUGUGUGUUGUCUUUCCUUUCACCUAAAAUAGUUAUAGUCCACUAUCUAAUCGGUGAAUACCCUUCUCUCUCCCUCCCCACCCUCAGAACCAUCAAAAAAUAUUUUCUUCUGUGUUUAAAAUUUUUUCUAGAGGUCUGUGAAAGUUUUAAAGAAUCAUAGAUUGCUUCUCUUUCAUUCAAAUAAUGCUCAUAAUUUAAGAGCCCAGGAAAAAUAAAUUCAUAAAUUAUAUAUGUGCAACUAUAUCUGACUCAACAGCACAAGACAACACUAAAGACAUUUAUAUAAGUGAGACCAGGGUAAUCUGAUAGCUGUUGGUUAUUUUUUUUAUUAUGUAAACAAAGAACCUUGGUCUGUCAAAAUUUUCAAAGGAAAUACUUUGGACAAACUAUUAUUCCCCACAGUAACAACCUAUAUACAGUUAUAUGCAGUGAUUAUAACUGUGGUUGUGCCUUUCUUAAGCAGUGGAGUUCAUUUUGACAACUUAUGUAGUAGUUAGAACUGCAUCAGAAAACUGCUUGUUUAUGUUCCAUAUUCUCUUUGGCAAAGUGUGACAUGUAGCAAGAAAAAUAGAAUCCUGGCCUGUGUUUGUAAUCAGUGCACAGGGCUGUGGCAUUAGCAUUCAGAAGAGUAUGUAAACAGUGCCCUACACUGUGUCCUGCAGUUGAACGCGUGUAAAACAGUGUAACAUCCAGAUGCCUGUGCUGUACUUCGGAGAAGAAUCAUGUUUAGUCUUUCCUGUAGCUGGUAAAAUAGGAGAUAUUGAGAAAAUGCUUGUUGAAUGAAUAAAUGAAUAGAUACCAGAUCCUUAAUUAAAGAAGCUACCAUUUACUUCUGGUUUUCCUUUUCUGCAAAUGUGUAUAUGAACAGAUUCAAAGUUUGUUGUCAGUUUUGCAUCCUUUCUGUUUUCAAUAAUAUCAUCAUCAACAGAAAUAAAGGCACUAAAAUAAAAUCUUUGUUGAUUCUGAUUACUUGAUCAGAAAGACUAAACUAGGAUGUACUGAAGUUCUUAUUUUGAUAAAAUCAAGUUUAAAGAAUUUUCAGUUAAAAACUGUAAGUUCAUAUAUCCAGCAAUCAUGUUCCUUGGUAUUUAUCAAUAUUAUAAAAUGGGCAUUUCUAUUUCCAAGGUGUUGCCAAGACCUUUCUUCCUCUCUAAAAUUUUCUCUUCCUUUUUCCUUUUAUCUGUCCUUUAAGACCUAGUUCAGAUUGUUUGAUUUGUUCAUUCAGUAAAACCAACUGAGUACCUACUAUAUGCAGUGCUGUCUGGAAUGCUGGGUAUAAUGGAUUGAAUUAUGUCUCCCAAAAGUGUUUAACUUGGGUAGGCCAUGAUUCCCAGUAUUCGGUGGCUAUCCUCCAUUUUGUGAUUGUAAUUUUAUAUUAAAGAGGAUUAUGGUGGGAUUAUAACACCCUUACCAGGUCACAUCCCUGAUCCAAUAUAAUGGGAGUUUCCCUAGGGUGUGGCCUCUACCACCUUUUCUCUCUCAAGAGAUAAAAGGAAAGGGAAGUAAGCAGAGAGUUGGGGACCUCAUACCUCCAAGAAAGCAGCACCUGGAGCAGAGCUCGUCCUUUGGACCUGAGGUUCCUGUGCUGAGAUGCUCCCAGACCAAGGGACAACUAACAAGAAGGACCUUCCCCCAGAGCCGAGAGAGAGAAAACCUUCCCCUGGAGCUGGCGCCCUGUAUUCAGACUUCUGGCUUACUGGACUGGGAGAAAAUGAACUUCUCUUUGUUAAAGCCAUCCACUUGUGGUAUUUCUGUUAUAGAAGCACUAGAUGACUAAGACACUGGGGAAUCUAAGAAGAACAAGCUCCUGUCCUCAUGUAAUUUAUAUUCUGGUGGAAAAAAACACAAUACAAAAUAAAACAUUAAAUAUUUGUGGUGCUAAAAAUAUGAAGCACAGGAAACUAGGAUAACAUAUAAUAUGGGAAAGGACCUGGUCUGAGGGAUAAGGAAAGCUCUCUUGAGAAAGUGCUUGUUAACUGAGUUUGAAAGAUGAAUGAGGGGCUAGAAUGGGGUCAAGGGAGGUUGUCUUACUUUGUUAGUGCUGCUAUAACAGAAAUACUGCCAAGUGGGUGGCUUUAACGAACAGAAAUUUAUUUUCUCAUAUAUUAGGAGGCUAGAAGGCCUAUUUCAGGACAUGGGCUGUAGGGGAAGGCUCUCCCUCUGUAGGCUCUGGGGGAAGAUCUUAGUCUCUUUCAGCAUCUGUUCCUUGGUGAGCUUCACAUGGCAUUACCUUCCUAGUUUGUCCUUGCUUCCUUCUCAGUGCCUAAUCUAUU